rnacentral:rRNA from 1 species
CCUACGGGUGGCAGCAGUGGGGAAUAUUGGACAAUGGGGGGAACCCUGAUCCAGCCAUGCCGCGUGUGUGAAGAAGGCCCUCGGGUUGUAAAGCACUUUCAGUGAGGAAGAACGCCUGGUGGUUAAUACCCAUCAGGAAAGACAUCACUCACAGAAGAAGCACCGGCUAACUCCGUGCCAGCAGCCGCGGUAAUACGGAGGGUGCGAGCGUUAAUCGGAAUUACUGGGCGUAAAGCGCGCGUAGGUGGCUUGAUAAGCCGGUUGUGAAAGCCCCGGGGCUCAACCUGGGAACGGCAUCCGGAAAUGGCCAGGUUGGGUGCAGGAGGGGAAGGGAGAAAUCCCGGGGGUGCGGGGAAAUGCGGUAGGGUUCGGAGGAAAUCCAGGUGCGAAGGCCGCCCUCUGGAACUAAACUUGACCUUGGGUGGCGAAGGCUUGGGUAGCAACCAGAAUAGAAACCCCAGUAGUC